rnacentral:tRNA from 1 species
GAGGGUAUAGCUCAAGUGGCAGAGCGCAUGCUUAGCACACACAAAGUCCUGGGUUCAAACCCCAGCACCUCCU